ensembl:lncRNA
GCUGUUCAAGGUUCUGUAGAAGAGCCUGUGGAUCUCCUGCUGAUUUCUGGUCAGUUACUAAGACAGAACUUGGAGACACAUAUAAGAAGAAAUACAGGGAAGAAGAGAUCUAGGUAUUAUACAUCUGCCUUGAAUUUACUGCAGUAUCUAUGCUCAGAGCUAAAGAAAAUUUGAAAUUUUACUGUGGUCAGAAUUUUUCAAAUGGAUAAGCAAAUGAGUGAGCAUACAAUCUGCUGCAAUAGGCUGUGCUUCAUAGUAAAAGGCACCCAAUAUAAUCACAUGGAUCAUUAAAAGUGGAAAAGAGAAAGAUAAGUUUGAGAGGAGAUGCAAAGACAAAAGAUGGCUGCAAUCAAGUCAUAAUAGGAUGAAUAUUACUCCUGAAGCUUAUCUUGAAACCAUUGAGCCAAGACUAUGAGCAGACUAUUGAAGGAUGGAAAAUAGUACCUUGAAACAUAUUGUCUUUUUAAACAACAGAACAAGAAAUCCUAACUCUAUUAAGUCGUUAAAAUUUUGGUUAAUUGUACUCUACCAAUAGAAUCCGGACACUGUUCUCUCAAAACCAACAUUAUAGCAAGUUGGGUGAAGGAAAAAGGAGGGAAAGAUUUGUGACGUCUUGAGGUAAAACCUUUAUACUCAGAGCACUGAGCUGCAAUGUUCCUUCCUGUUGCUCUUGGGUUAUGGUUCAUGGAAGUCAUGAAUUCUGAAGGGUGAGUGUCCCACAUCCCUGUGUUUCAUGGGCAAGCCCUCUAAGAUGGAAACAUGAAUACCCAGGUGUGUAGCAUCAUCUUAUAUCCACUAAACUUAUGCACUUUCCUCUGUAUGAUCAAUGGCAUUAGGUGAAAAGAAAUUAUACUUACUUGAGAGACAUAGUCACUCUGCAGGAAACUUUCAAAACUGAGACUAGUGAAAUAUGGACAUGGAUUUAAUUAAUAGUCGGUGGACAAACUAACAAUAAUAAUUGUAUCCAUCGACUAGAUUUUUCUUAUUUCAAUUACUGAUAGAAAAAUCAAUGAACAAGCAAGACAUGGAUCAAUGCAAUAAAAAAUAUUGUGAGUUUAUUUUUGUUGGGAUAAUACUAAAACUUGUCAUAAUCUUGACAUCAUGGUAAACCACAUAAUUUUGUAUUGUUGAAAUUUAGGAAAUCGGUAUUGUCUUAUGGUUUGAUAAACUCAAUUUGACAUUAUUGCUGACAUGAACAUUAAGGUUAUGUAGACAACCCAUUACUUUGAGGAUUUCAGGCCAAAGAACUCAGAAUAAAUAUAAGUUCUGUACUAGAGAAAAAGGUUAAAAAUGUAUAAGGUUAAACAGUUGAUGAAAACAAGGCAAUUCUAACCAUGUGUGUCUGAUCCUACAUCAGAUCACAGGUUAGUACUGUCUGUUAAUAAUUUAAUGAGAAAUAUUUAAUGAGGAAAGAUUAAUAGCUUUCUGGCUUUUUUGUUUUCAAUUUUUAUUAUCAUCGACACUGCUAAAGACCUGUUUCGGGGUUGUAGUUGAAGUACCAAACAUUGUUCCACUAAGCAAAUGGAAUUUAGAAAAAUACAAACAGAGAUUUUCUAACUUUGCUGUCCUUUACAAUCUGGAUAUUUUUUGAGAGUAUGAGUACAAAGAAGAAGACAUGAAUGCUCAAAUAGGGAAAGACAGGAUACCUUCUGAUUGUGGGGAUGGGAUGAAUAUUUGGCUGUAAGGAUAUAUUGCAUAAUGUGUGUACAUUUGAGAAAUAGGUGGUCAUUUUAUUUUAUAUUCUUACAAAGUGUCCUGUGUGUGUCCUCCAUUGUUUGACACCUUGACACUCAUCCUGUGUAUUGCUCAUUUUCACUGAUGUGGAAGCUCUCCAAUUACUCAAUGUUCAAUGUCCAUUCUCUUCAUGCUAUCCGAUAUUUGUGGUAUCUGUAUAUAUUAAUGCAUUCAAAAUUUUAGUGUUGGAUAAAUGGCCCCAAUUGAACACUGUAUUUCACACAGCAGUGUAACAAUAUUAAAAAUAACUUUAAAUCAUUUAAAUUGGUUGUUCCCCAUAAACUGAUGGCAUGCCCUUGUUGUUGGAGUCAACAUUUACAUAAAUCAUUGAAUACAGAGAUAUUGAUCUGGUGACCAUAGAGCCUUUACCCUAUGAUCUAAUGUUCAUGGCACUGGAAGAUAUUCUGCAUACUAUAAAAAAAAAAGAAGGGUAAGCACCAAACCAGCCACAAACCCUU